AAGUUAUGCCUGUAUCCAGUAGCUCCCUCAAUGAAGAAACGAAGCCCCAGUAAGCUGACCAGAUGAAUCGACCCACGACACAGGGCUGAGCCUCCUCCUUGUGCCACCACUGCCUCUCUGCAUCUGCUGCAGCUUUGUAGGGGGGAGGGUCACAAUUUACCCUAGGACAACAGCUGUUCUCCAUAGAGAAACCAAAAUCUGAUGGAUUUUCAAGAUUUUGGUAGGUGGUUUUUUUGUUUUGUUUUGUUUUGUUUUGUUUUGUUUUCCUGGUACAAUAGCAGGAGGAGAUGCUUUCCUGAUAACUUUAUUUUGCUUUACCUGUCAGGUCUGCAGUAGUACGCCGAAAGCUUGUAAAUCACAGGCCGGAACUGUGAGGUAGUGUAAACUUCUGAGUGAAACCUGUGAGACUUUGCCAACGAGCCCCCAGCCGACCAUGCGUACUCCAGCAGCCAGAGGAAGCACUUGGUGGGACGUGCGGGCGGCGGCGUCCAUCUGAACUACGCGGCGCUCGGCCCCCGCCUGGGCCCAGCCAGCAGAUGCUAAUUUGCAAGCACAAAAUGGGAGCACUUGCCUGUGUCUCUCAGCUGAAGUUGCUGACUUCACUACCCCUGCUCCUGAGGCCCUUCUGAGGUGCUCCUCUCAAGCAAGAUUGCUGGAAACAUCUGUAUUUUCAAAUACAUUAAUUCCUUGGCAGUUCAGCCUAUCCUUCUCAUUACUCUGUAUGACAAGCUAUUUCAGACAUGAAGCUGGUCUUAUUUUUACCAGCCUCCAUAUUCCUACAGGAUGUACCGGAGAGGAAUUAGUUGUUGGUGACAUACAUAGGCACCAUCUCCUU
rnacentral:lncRNA from 1 species